AGGAUUAACGCUGGCGGCGUGCCUGACACAUGCAAGUCGAACGAGACCGCAAGGCCGAGUGGCGGACGGGUGAGUAACACGUGACCAACCAACCUCGAAGUUGGGAAUAGCUCUGCGAAAGUAGGGGUAAUACCGAAUGUGGCCCAGGGCGGGCAUCCGCCUUGGUCUAAAGAUUCAUCGCUUCGAGACGGGGUCGCGGCCUAUUAGCUUGUUGGUGAGGUAACGGCUCACCAAGGCGAUGAUGGGUAGCUGGUCUGAGAGGACGACCAGCCACACUGGGACUGAGACACGGCCCAGACUCCUACGGGAGGCAGCAGUGAGGAAUCUUCCGCAAUGGGCGAAAGCCUGACGGAGCAACGCCGCGUGUGGGAUGAAGACUCUAGGGUUGUAAACCACUGUCGGAGGGGACGAUCGUGACGGUACCCUCCAAGAAAGCCCCGGCUAACUACGUGCCAGCAGCCGC
rnacentral:rRNA from 1 species